AAGGUUAGGGUUAAGGUUAGGGUUAGGCAUAAGGUUAGCAGUGUAGUUAGGGUUAGGCAUUAGGUUAGCAGUGUGGUUAAAGUUAGGGUUAAGGUUAGGCAUGAGGUUAGCAGUGUGGUUAAGAUUAAGGUUAGGGCUAGGCAUAAGGUUAGCAACAUGGUUAAGGUUAGGGUUAAGGUUAGGGAUAAGGUUAGUAGUGGGGUUAAGGUUAGGGUUAAGGUUAGGGUUAGGCAUAAGGUUAGCAGUGUGGUUAAGGUUAGGGUUAGGCAUAAGGUUAGCAGUGUGGUUAAGGUUAGGGUUAGACAUACGGUUAGCAGCGUGGUUAGGGUUAGGCGUAAGGUUAGCAGUGUGGUUAAGGUUAGGGUUAGGCAUAAGGUUAGCAGUGUGGUUAAGAUUAGGGUUAGGCAUAAGGUUAGCAGCGUGGUUAAGGUUAGGGUUAAAAUCAAAUCACAUUUCAUUGGUCACAUACAUAUGGUUAGCAGAUGUUAAUGCGAGUGUAGCGAAAUGCUUGUGCUUCUAGUUCUGACAGUGCAGUAAUAUCUAACAAGUAUUCUAACAAUUCCACAACAACUACCUAAUGCACACAAAUCUAAAGGGAUGGAAUAAGAAUAUAUACAUAUAAUUAUAUGGAUGAGCAAUGACUGAGCGGCAUAGGCAAGAUGUAAUAGAUGGUAUAAAAUACAGUAUAUACAUAUGAGAUGAGUAAUGUAAGAUAUGUAAACAUUAUUAAAGUGGCAUUAUUUAAAGUGUCUAGUGAUCCAUUUAUUAAAGUGGCCAAUGAUUUGAGUCUCCAUGUAGGCAGCAGCCUCUCUGAGCUGGUGUUGGCUGUUUGACAGUCUGAUAGCCUUGAGAAAGAAUUAGGCUUCGGGUUAAGGUUAGGCAUAAGGUUAGGGUUAAGGUUAGGGUUAGGUUUAAAAUCAGAUGUUAUGAGUGACCACCCUGCAGAGCUUCCUCCAGUAUAUGUGUCAUCCCAAUAAAUGCCAACUUGCCUCCUAAUGGGGUCUCCCAUCAUUAACACUGUUGUCAAUGGGGAAAUCAACAAAAACAUUAUCUCUUUAUCAGCCAGUCAGUUACCUCUUCUCUAGGAUGAACACACUAUUCUCAAAUCAGUCUCCAUGUGUCUCCAUCUGUCUGUCUCUGUCUGUCUCUGUCUGUCUCUCUCUGUCCGUCCGUCUCCGUCCGUCUCCGUCUGUCUGUCUGUCUCCGUCCGUCUCCGUCCGUCUGUCUCCGUCCGUCUGUCUCCGUCCGUCUCCGUCCGUCCGUCUCCGUCCGUCUCCGUCCGUCUGUCUCCGUCCGUCUGUCUCCGUCCGUCUGUCUCCGUCCGUCUGCUCCGUCCGUCUGUCUCCGUCGGUCUGUCUCCGUCCAUCUGUCUCCGUCCGUCUGUCUCCGUCUGUCUGUCUCUCUGGCGCGCUCCUUUUUUUCUCACUCUUUGCUUCCGAUCUGACAUCUGACAGCUCUUUGAGGCAGUCAG
rnacentral:lncRNA from 1 species